GCUAGAAAGACCAAUUCCCAGAAACAUUUUGUUAUGUGAAUAACUAUGCUAUUCAUAAGUUAAAAGGCCAGAGAUGUGUAUUAUGUAUGCUGAUAUUUAGUUGCCUUGAGGGAGCUGGAAAACAUUAAUGCAUCAAUGUGGUCAAACUGUAAGUACAGCUACAACUAUAUAUUUACUAACAUUUUGCCCAAAUGAACACUUGCCAUGAAGAGUUCUAUCAUUUAUAGUUCUAACAUUAGCAGAUCUUUAUAUAAGAACCCUCUUUAGAAUCUUGUAGUGAAUCUGGUUAUUUCUCUGGUUGCUAAGUUUUCUUCUUGUUGUUCAAAUAUUUAGAGGUUGCUAUUUUGUUCGGCUGUCUUAGCCAAGCUUAGACAUGCUUUAGUAUGUGUGAUUUUAAAAAAAUAAUUCCUUGCAUGUUCUUAACAUUUUCAGUGCUUCUUUUAGAAUGCUUUGCAUGUGUUGGUGAUGAGAUACCCAGAUCUGCACGCAGCAUUUCAAGGCUGAGUUGAGGGAACGAAAUUGCUCAGAUGCCUGAGGCGACAGACUGAGUUAACUUGAACAUUUUGAUUAUUCAAAUGAGAAUUAUCCAAAUGACCCAGAUUUCUUCCUUACUGCAUCAUGACAAAUUGCUAGACAAUGACACCUCUACUGUCUGCAUUUCUGUGGGCAGACACAUUUGGAUAGCCAUACAGCAUCAGAAAAGUUGAUCUACAAAGGCAGGACAGAACUGACAUCUUCAUGAGAACUUCUGGAAGUUAUGAACAACCAAUUGCACUUGGAAUUUGAAUCUUACUAAGACUCAUAACUCUGCUGUGCAGUACAAAUGGUCUUUAAAGUGAGUUAAAUUUAUCAGUGUAACAGAGUACGCUAUUGAAAGUCAGGUCUGUGAUGACUAGGUACAAUUGGAAUAUUCCUGAUGAAAUUUUUCUUAGCUAUAUUCUUUCCCUCAUUGCUUCAUGUUCUUUUUUCAAUGAAAUUGCUCAUGCAUAAUCAAG
rnacentral:lncRNA from 1 species